rnacentral:rRNA from 1 species
CGGGUGAGUAAUGUAUGGGGAUCUGCCUGAUGGCGGGGAUAACUACUGGAAACGGUAGCUAAUACCGCAUAAUGUCUACGGGACAAAGCGGGGGACCUCCGGGCCUCGCGCCAUCAGAUGAACCCAUAUGGGAUUAGCUUGUAGGUAAGGUAACGGCUUACCUAGGCGACGAUCCCUAGCUGGUCUGAGAGGAUGAUCAGCCACACUGGGACUGAGACACGGCCCAG